GACGAACCGUGCAAACGUUGUUCGGAAUCACUGGGCUUAAAGGGCGCGUAGGCGGGUUGCCAAGUCUGUGGUGAAAGCCCCCGGCUUAACCGGGGAAGUGCCGUGGAUACUGGCGAUCUCGAGGAGGGUAGGGGCAUCUGGAACGUUGGGUGGAGCGGUGAAAUGCGUUGAUAUCCAACGGAACUCCGGUGGCGAAGGCGAGGUGCUGGACCCUUUCUGACGCUGAGGCGCGAAAGCCAGGGGAGCAAACGGG
rnacentral:rRNA from 1 species